AAGCCGAAAGGUUACGGACCAGGGGAGCUUGUGGGAGACCAGGACCACAGCCCAGCCCCCUGGCUCCAGGCCCACAGGCCACGCAGAGGACCCUGGAGUCUGACCUCGGCCGCACUGUCCCCUGCUGACGCCUGCACUUGGGGACUGCCUCAUGCUUUCUGUCACGCUGGCUGAGGGACAGACCAUCUGGAGAUGCGUCCACACUGAUGACCGUCACUUCUGUGAACCCUCCCGUCUUGCUCCGGCCUCGGCUCAGGAAAAAGCAUUGCUUUGAGCAUUGGUGACUCAUCUUCUAUGGGAACAGUUUGAAAACAGUCCCCCCGAUGCCGAUUCUAAGAGUGCUAACUGCGGAGAUAUCUUGCCCACUGGAUGUCAUGAGCGCCUGCAGCUCUGCGGAACGACUUCUCUCAGAUCCUGAGAGUCCCUGAAGUCAUGUUUUGCUCAAGUCAUAACUGUCAAGACGGAGCGGCAGCGGCCUGUUCGUCCUACAGACACCUGCUGGCAGAGCUGCAGGCCCAUGAGCUAAGGAGCUCUCCUCUGGACCAAAGCGGCUUCUCCGAGGAGAAUUCAUGACAUUUAUAACCACUUUCAAUAUUUUCACUGAAUGCCAUUUUCAGUCAUACAUUCGGUAAAAGACUUUAAACCUGGAGAGGCAGGAAUGUUCUGAGAAUGUGAGAGAUACGUACUAGUUAGGCCCAUUUUUCCUCAGAUCUUAAAGGGAAGGACUGUCGUUUCCGGCAACUUUGUAAACUCCUGCGGCUCUCAUCAUUGGGGUACGAACAAAAAAUAUGUAGUGUGGUAUUUACACGACAACUAAAGGUUAAAAGGGGCCCAUGUCCAGGGCCAACGUUGCCCCGAGUAGAUUCAGGAAUCUGUUUCUGUCCAAAAUAGUCCCUGCUGGGCCACUUUCCACAUGGGCCAGGCCUAGGGUCCGAGGGCCUGUGUCCUGAGCCUGGAAGCAGCAGCAAGGGGUGGGAACAACCUGUGCUUUGGAGCCAGACCAUCGACGCGACGCCUGGAGACUGGUCCUUCUCUUCCCGUGCACGGGUGACGCUGGCCAAGUUACCGCUCUCUCUGAGCCUUGGGCUGCUCCAGCAUAGCCGCGUCCCCUGUAAGCCUGAGCCCACCUCAUAAAGAACCAACUCUGUUACUUUCUCGCUCCUAGUUUUGCCCACCAGACGCCAGAAUCCUGCCUGUAGUAGCCAGAUCUGGGUCACCACAUUUAGGAAUCUGUAUUAAAAAGUAUCUAUAAGUUA